rnacentral:misc_RNA from 1 species
AAUUGAGGCGCCGUGUAGCCAGCUGAAACUCGAAUGGCUUGUUGAGAGAAGUAAGUGAGAGACGGAAGCUGUGUAUAACCCAUCGGAGGAUGAGGAUGCUGUGGAUAGCUCGUCAUCGUCUGAGGCCGCACCGGCGCCGGCGCCGGCGCCGGAUGAUCGCCUACCGAUUCAUACUUGUAAUCCAUCAAAAUUCACUCAAAAAAAUUGAAAUUCACAAUGCCGAAACAGCAAAUCGUUACAUCUAUAGAGAAAGAUUGAGAGCAGAAAAGGUAGGGUUUUUUCUGGCCGUGAUGAACAGUGAUUUUGGGAAUUUG